AGGAAGUAGACACCCUAGUCUGU
rnacentral:piRNA from 1 species